rnacentral:rRNA from 1 species
AGGGAUAGGGUCGGUUCGGCCGGAUUUCACACAGGUGUUGCAUGGCUGUCGUCAGCUCGUGUCGUGAGAUGUUGGGUUAAGUCCCGCAACGAGCGCAACCCUCAUCCUUAGUUACCAUCAGGUAAUGCUGGGGACUUUAAGGAAACUGCCAGUGAUAAACUGGAGGAAGGUGGGGAUGAUGUCAAGUCAUCAUGGCCCUUAUGGAGUGGGCUACACACGUGCUACAAUGGUGGCUACAAUGGGCUGCAAAGUCGCGAGGCUAAGCUAAUCCCUUAAAAGCCAUCUCAGUUCGGAUUGUACUCUGCAACUCGAGUACAUGAAGUUGGAAUCGCUAGUAAUCGUGGAUCAGCAUGCCACGGUGAAUACGUUCUCGGGUCUUGUACACACUGCCCGUCACGCCGUGGGAAUUGGU